GACGUAGGGCGCAAGCGUUGUCCGGAUUUAUUGGGCGUAAAGAGCUCGUAGGCGGCCUGUCGCGUCGACCGUGAAAACCCGCAGCUCAACUGCGGGCUUGCGGUCGAUACGGGCAGGCUGGAGUUCGGUAGGGGAGACUGGAAUUCCUGGUGUAGCGGUGAAAUGCGCAGAUAUCAGGAGGAACACCCGUAGCGAAGGCGGCACUCUGGGCCGAUACUGACACUGAGGAGCGAAAGCGUGGGGAGCGAACAGG
rnacentral:rRNA from 1 species